CUAAUACCGUAUAACAAUCGAAACCGCAUGGUUUUGAUUUGAAAGGCGCUUUCGGGUGUCGCUGAUGGAUGGACCCGCGGUGCAUUAGCUAGUUGGUGAGGUAACGGCUCACCAAGGCCACGAUGCAUAGCCGACCUGAGAGGGUGAUCGGCCACAUUGGGACUGAGACACGGCCCAAACUCCUACGGGAGGCAGCAGUAGGGAAUCUUCGGCAAUGGACGAAAGUCUGACCGAGCAACGCCGCGUGAGUGAAGAAGGUUUUCGGAUCGUAAAACUCUGUUGUUAGAGAAGAACAAGGAUGAGAGUAACUGUUCAUCCCUUGACGGUAUCUAACCAGAAAGCCACGGCUAACUACGUGCCAGCAGCCGCGGUAAUACGUAGGUGGCAAGCGUUGUCCGGAUUUAUUGGGCGUAAAGCGAGCGCAGGCGGUUUCUUAAGUCUGAUGUGAAAGCCCCCGGCUCAACCGGGGAGGGUCA
rnacentral:rRNA from 1 species